rnacentral:rRNA from 1 species
GGAGGAAGUUGAAAAGUACUUUGAAGAGAGAGUUCAAGAGGACGUGAAACCGGUAGGAUGGAAACGGAUAGAGCCAACGAACAAGCCCGUAUUCAGCUAGUCGGCUGCGUGCGGCAUGCCUGUGUGCUCGUUCAGGGUGCAUGGGUGUGUGCGGUAUGCGGUCGGCUAGUGCAUUUGCGGGUGAUGUGCGCUGAGGCGUGUGGCGGAGUCCUGCAAACUGUCUGGAGAGGCCUCGCCUUCGGGCUUGAAACCUACAGGCGGGGAGUCGGGUUUCUGCUGCAUGUAGACGAAGCGGCUAGGUGCAAACGCGCUGUCGUGCUGCCGGGCUAGCUGCUUGGCCGGUCGCAUGCGACUAGGUCUUGUUGGUUGGUCUUGGUGGUACGGCAGUGCCCUGGUCGACCCUCGGUGUAAAAGUUGGUCAUCUCUCCGACCCGUCUUGAAACACGGACCAAGGAGUCUAGCGUAUGCGCGAGUCAUUGGGUGGAAAACCCAUAGGCGAAAUGAAAGUGAAGGUCUCUUCAUGAGGCUGAUAUGCGAUCCGUUGCACUACGGUGUACGCGGAGCAGCAUAGCCCCGUCUCGACUGCUUGCAGUGGGGCGGAGGUAGAGCGUAUACGCUGGUACCCGAAAGAUGGUGAACUAUGCCUGAGCAGGAUGAAGCCAGAGGAAACUCUGGUGGAGGUCCGAAGCGCUUCUGACGUGCAAAUCGAUCGUCUGACUUGGGUAU